rnacentral:lncRNA from 1 species
GUUACUGGGUUAGGAAGUAAAGAACAUGUUUUCUUACUUACACUCUCUUUGGCGUUUAUCUUAAGAAUAACUUUUUCCUCACCCUUAGCCUCUUUUCUCUCUCUAAAGUUUUCUUCUUUUUCUUCACUAAAACCCUCAUGUUUUUCUCUCUCUACCUCACAUACUUUUGUUAUCUCAUUGCCUUUCCUCUUUUCUUUUCCCUCAAGCUCACUCUUUUUCUCACU